rnacentral:tRNA from 1 species
GCCAGAAUAGCAAAGUGGACAAUGCAGUAGAUUUAGGAUCUAUUAUUUAGAGGUUCGAUUCCUCUUUCUGGUU